UCAUUUUUUGUGAUGUUAUUUGUUGUUUGUCUCUCUUCAAAGAAAGUAUUCAUUAUAGAAAAUAUAGAAAUCGUUUGAUUUCUGAAUUGCAUUUUUAAUGAAUUUUCCAUGCUUUUUUUUUUUGCAUUAAAGACACCAAGUGUAACAUAUGAGAUGAUACAUGAUAAAACCAACUCUUUAUUUGCCUUUCUAGAGAGAGCUUCUUAAGUCAUCUUUCCAUUUAGCUGAAAUCCUCCUUUUGUUUUUUAGUUUUACAAUGAGAAUACCAAGAUAAAUAAUUCUUUCUCUAGUAGUAUAUGCACUUGAUUAUAGGGCAAAAAUCUUACAUUUACAAUAAAAUACAAUAUUUAAUGUUUUAGAGAGUCUGAAAAUUGAGUUUGCAGCAUCUUCUGCCCCCUUUUUUAAUGUCAGAGCCAGAAGGAACUUUAGAGCUCUUCUAGUGUAGGUAUUAAAGUCCAAACCUUCUGACAACUGGUCCAGGAUUCUGUCAAACUCUUGUUGCCUGUUGACAUAGACUGUUUACAUGGAAGGCCAAUAAUCCUUUUUAAAAAUUUUGAUAGAAUACUAAAUUGGUGCUUUAAAAAAUAAUCCCUCCUCCUUUUGCUUCCAGGUGCACUGACCUAUUCCCAUAACUUUAUAAAAUUAUAGAUAUAUUCAAAGUUAUAACAUAUAUAAGUGACCUUACUAUAGAAUGUUAGAACUGGCAAGGAUUUUAGAAGCUGAAUGUUGGGUAAAAUUUCAUUCCUAUUAAGAGUAUCACUGUUACCUGGUCAUUCUUCCUGGAAUUCUGACAGAGUCUUUGGCCUUUCAUUAAAAAAAGGAGGACCAGCAUCUAGAGAGUCAUUGGAACUCGGCAUCUUCAGCCAUGGCAUCAUCAAGAAAGCAUAUAUCCAAUCAUCCAUGUAUCACAUGGGUCCAAAAAGAAGUUAUCUUGAAAUUCCAAGGAGAUGUUUUUAAGCUUUCAAAAGCCGGAGGAAACUUAUCUUGGAUCUGGUUCUGAGCAACAAGGAGGCACGUGGUUGCUGAAGUGGAAGUAGAAGGCAUCUUGGAGGCAAGUGACCACUCCAUCAUAGUCUGUGAGAGAGAGCCUAUAUCUUUCAAUCAGUCUUUAUUAACCAACUGCUUUUGCUAAUACUAGAGAUAAAAAAUUAAAAUUACUUCCACCUCCACCACUACCCACACAAGGAAAUCACAUAUACCACCAGACGCGUACAAAAUUAAUGCAUAGUAAUUUCAUAGGAGGGCAUUAAUAUUGGUGAGGAAGCAUCCGGAAAGGCUUCAUGUAGCAAAUACCCCUAGAGUUUUGAAAGAAACGAAGGCUUUUGAAAGGGGGAGGGGUAAGGAAGGCAUACCUUACAGAGCUGGGGAUAGGCAAUCCAAAGGGCUAGAGCUGGGAGUGUCCCAUGAGAAACAUCAAGGUGAGCAGGUAGAGGAGUAAUAAUGGAUAUUAAAGACUACCGGAAGCCUUUCUUAAUCCUUAUUUCCCUCUGUUACUUAUUUCCUAUUUAUUCUGCACAUAACUCAUUUGUGCAUAUUUAUCUUCCUUGAGGGUAGGGGCUGUUUUUUGCAUUUCCAGCAUUUUGCACAGUGUCUGGCACACUGGUGCUUAAUAAAUAAUGUUUGACUGACUAGAGAAGUGUGGAAGACAGAUGGACUUGCAUGGAAGAUGAGAGUCCUGUUUUGCAUAUGCUGAGUUUGAGUUACAGUUUGAAAUUUCAGGCAUGUGGAAUUGGGUGGCACGCACACAGGGCAAGAGACUAGGGCCAGAUACAAAAACUGGGGAGUUAUUGGAACAUAGAGAUCAUAAUUAAAUCCGUGGAAGUUGAUUAGGCCAGUAAAUGAAAGAAGAGAAGACAGCUGAGAAUAGAGCCUUGUGGUACAGAUUUAGAAGGAAGGCUUAGGGAGCAAUGAUACCAAGAUCCUAUAGCAUCAUGAAGAUGCAAAGAGGAGAGAAAAUCCAUGAGAGGGUGGUUAAUAGUCAAGUGUUGCAGAGAGGGGGGAGGUUAGGUGGCACCAGUCCUGCAGUUAGGAGGACCUGAAUUUAAAUUUGCCCUCAGACAUUUGACACUAGCUGAGAUCUCCUAGGCAAGUUAUUUAAUCCCGAUUGUCUUGCCCUCCCCCCCAAAAACAAACAAACAAACAUGAAAUCUGGCAGCUUAGUUCAUUGGUGACUUUGGAGGAAAGAAUUUCAACUGUGGUAUAAAGAAAGGAGGUGGAAGUGAGUAAUCAGCUUUUUUUUAAGCUGCCAAUCAAACAGCAUUUAUUAAGUGCUGCUUGUUUAGUCAAUGGUGACCUACUCUUUGUGACUCCAUUUGGGAUUUUCUUGGAAAAGAUAUUGAAGUAGUUUGUCAUUGUCUUCUCUGGAUCAUUUUACAGAUGAGGAACACUUAUGUCUGACACUUGUAAGUGUGACACUGGACAAGUCAUUUAACCAGUUUACUUCAGUUCCUCAUCUAUAAAAUGAGAUGGAAUCAAGGGUGCACAUAAAGGAACUGGCCUUGCUGAGAAGGGUCAUCUCUCUCCAUCAGAUUGGAGUACAAGAGAAUGAAAGAUGAUUCAGGUUUUGAGAUAAAGGGAAGAGGGGGGAACCCAGGACAGGGUCAGAGGCAUCUAAUUUAGUGAAAAGCCAAUGGACAGAGGAAUGGCCAUCUUCACACAGCUGGAUCUUGCCUCAUAUGUACGUAAUUUUUAAUUUGACCUGAAUGAUAAUAUGUUGAUAGCAUUUGCAUAUGACGCAAAAUUAUUGAACACAAUGAAUGACAAAAUCCAAAGCUACUGACAGGCUAGAAUAAUGGGAUAAAUCUCCUCAUUUAACUUCGGAAAUACAGAAUAGGGGAGAUAUGACUAGGCAAUAGUUUUUGUAAAAACAAAAGCAAAAAACUGGCAUUUUAGCGGGUUGCAAGUUCAAUAUAUGAUACCAUGGGUGAUGAGUCAACCAAAAAAAAAAAAAAACAAACCUUUAAAAGCCCAAACCCACUGUUAUCCCAGUCUGCAUUAAAAGCAGCACAGUAUGCAAAAUGAAGAUGAUUGCUCCACUGUGCUGUGCUAGUCCUAUAAAGAAUACUAUGUUCAGGUAUGAGUAAUGCUGUAGAGAUAAUAAUUGUUCAAGGCAAGUUGGACUAGACAGCCUUUGAAGUCCCUUUCAAAUCAAUUCUUAAAACAUUCUGAUUAUAGCUCAUUUUGUUGCUAGACCCAUACUUUUUCAAUUUGGUAGUUAUCUUCCAGAAUUUGUACUCGACCCUAAAUCCUUGAAAAUUCCUGCUAACAAACAGCCAGUAUCUAUGGAAGAAAUCCAUUGUACUCUGAAACAAUUCUAAUUGUUAGGAAAAUUUUCCUUAAAUCUACCUGAUAGGCAUUCAAUUAUUCUUAGUUGAACAAAAAAUGUAGCCCCUCUGCCCCAGCACAGCUCAUCAAAGGCACAUCCAGAAAAGCUUCAAUUCUGUUCAACAUUCUAUUUGGUAAGGCACAGAAGGGCAUAAUCCAAUUAAAGAAUGAAUUUUGAUCCCAAAUGAUUUACUUUUUUUUUUUUUUUAAGUUCUAGCACUUUAAAGGGAUGAAGUUUGCAUUUUUCAUUUAUGUGAAAUCCAAUCCCUCAUUCCCCAAAAGAAUAGAAGGGUGCUUGAGACAGGCUGUCAUUUUAACACUCCUUGCCACAUGAGCAGAGUCAAAUCACAAACUGAGCAUUACAGUGAAAUGAGAUUUUAGCCUAUGUUCUUCUACUUCACCAGGUUGUUGAGAAAAAGUGAUCUGCAAACUUUCAAAAGCUUUAUAAAUAUUCCAUGUUACUCUAUUUUCAUUAAAUAGGAAAAGUUACAAGACAAAAAAGUUACAAAUAUUCUUUUAAGAAAUGUUUUUCCUAUGAAAACUUCAUAACUUGCUAUCCCCACCCAAGCAAGCAAUUUGUCAAAAAAGUCUCAUCUUUAGACUCUAUUGCCUUUGAAUAAAUGAGUUCCAGGAAGUUGUAUUCAAAUAUUGUAUUUAAUCAAGUUCAUAAUUUAGUGUUUAUAGGUAUCAUGUAGUGACAUACCAGUUGCUUCUUUGCCCAUUUUUUUUUAUACAACAAGAACAUAAGAGAGUAGUCAAAUCCAGUUCUGAAGUAGAUCCCAUCAGCUAAGGGAAUCCUUCCCUCACAUUCUAGACUUGCUCCCCCCACCAAUGAAAUGACCAGCAUCUCUCUAUACUUAUACUAUCUCUUAACUUAAAUAAACUGUACAUUAAUAGCUACUUAAGAGCAAAAUUUUAAAAUCAUGUAUACAAAAAGCAGCACAAAUUUAGCUUUUCCAAGAUAGGUGGGGGGCCUCCACAAAGUUAUAUCCAUCCAACCAUGUUUUCUGGGAUCAAGGGAAGCUCUUAUGACCCUGGUCCCAAAAUCAAAGUGGCAGGGUGCAAGGAAAGGAAAUAUGCCACCCAAAUAUCCUGAUCUGCCUAUAUUGAGAAGACAACUCUCCUCAUUCUUGAACCAAUUCAUUCCACCUCCAUAUUGUAGCCUGUCUCCCCAAGCAAAAGGCCACAAAAAUCAGGUGGAUUUCUGCUUAGAAUCUGGGAGACAGAGGGGACGAGGGAAGGAGUUAGAGGAGGGGAGGGAGCAUGAGACAGAACCAAUGGGGCCGAGGCCAAGCCUGGUUUUAUUUCAUGCGAGAUUUUCUACAGUUGCAAGAAGUUCAGGUUUCAGAAUUCCCGGGGACUGC